rnacentral:rRNA from 1 species
UUCUCCGCGAAAUCUAUUGAGGUAGACCGUCGGAUGUUUACCCUCGGGGGUAGAGCACUGGAUGGGCUAGGGGGGCCCAAAGCCUUACCAAACCUAACCAAACUCCGAAUACCGAGGAGUAUAGUCCGGCAGACAGACAGUGGGUGCUAAGGUCCAUUGUCGAGAGGGAAACAGCCCAGACCACCAGCUAAGGCCCCUAAAUCGUGACUAAGUGGGAAAGGAUGUGGGGAUUCCAAAACAACCAGGAGGUUGGCUUAGAAGCAGCCAUCCUUUAAAGAAAGCGUAAUAGCUCACUGGUCUAUUAGAAACCCUGCGCCGAAAAUGUAACGGGGCUCAAGUCACGUGCCGAAGCUGUGGGUGCAUUCUAUGAAUGCGCGGUAGCGGAGCGUUCCGUAAGUCUGCGAAGGAGACGGGGUGACCCUCUCUGGAGAUAUCGGAAGUGCGAAUGCUGACAUGAGUAGCGAUAAACAGUGCGAGAAACACUGUCGCCGAAAGUCCAAGGGUUCCUGCGCAAGGUUAAUCCACGCAGGGUGAGCCGGCCCCUAAGGCGAGGGCGAAAGCCGUAGUCGAUGGGAAUCAGGUUAAUAGUCCUGAGCCUGCUAGAAGUGACGAAUGAGAUAUGUUGUUGGUUCUUAUCGGAUUGAACCAGCUUUUGGACCAUUCCAGGAAAUAGCUCUAGCAUAUAGACCGUACCCGAAACCGACACAGGUGGACUGGUAGAGUAUACCAAGGCGCUUGAGAGAACGAUGCUGAAGGAACUAGGCAAAUUGCUCGUGUAACUUCGGGAUAAACGAGACCCAAUCGUGGGCAACCAUGGUUGGGUGGCACAGACCAGGGGGUAGCGACUGUUUAGUAAAAACACAGGGCUCUGCGAAAUCGAGAGAUGACGUAUAGGGCCUGACGCCUGCCCGGUGCCGGAAGGUUAAGAGGAGAUGUGCAAGCAUUGAAUUGAAGCCCCGGUAAACGGCGGCCGUAACUAUAACGGUCCUAAGGUAGCGAAAUUCCUUGUCGGGUAAGUUCCGACCUGCACGAAUGGCGUAACGACUUCCCCACUGUCUCCAGUAUCGACUCAGCGAAAUUGAAUUCCCCGUGAAGAUGCGGGGUACCCGCGGUCAGACGGAAAGACCCUAUGAACCUUUACUGUAGCUUUGCAGUGGCAUCAGGAAAAUUCUGUGUAGGAUAGGUCGGAGGCUUUGAAGCCGGGGCGCCAGCACCGGUGGAGCCAUCCUUGAAAUACGACCCUGAAUUUUUCUGAUGUCUAACCGAGAUCAGUUAGCCUGAUCCGGGACCCUGCAUGGUGGGCAGUUUGACUGGGGCGGUCGCCUCCCAAAGUGUAACGGAGGCGCGCGAUGGUGGGCUCAGGCCGGUCGGAAACCGGCUGUCGAGUGCAAUGGCAUAAGCCCGCCUGACUGUGAGAGUGACAGCUCGAUCAGAGACGAAAGUCGGCCAUAGUGAUCCGGUGGUCCCACGUGGACGGGCCAUCGCUCAACGGAUAAAAGGUACUCUAGGGAUAACAGGCUGAUCUCCCCCAAGAGUCCACAUCGACGGGGAGGUUUGGCACCUCGAUGUCGGCUCAUCACAUCCUGGGGCUGGAGCAGGUCCCAAGGGUUCGGCUGUUCGCCGAUUAAAGUGGUACGUGAGCUGGGUUUAGAACGUCGUGAGACAGUUCGGUCCCUAUCUGCCGUGGGUGUAAGAGACUUGAGAGGAUUUGUCCCUAGUACGAGAGGACCGGGAUGAACGAACCUCUGGUGCACCGGUUGUCACGCCAGUGGCACAGCCGGGUAGCUAAGUUCGGACGGGAUAACCGCUGAAAGCAUCUAAGCGGGAAACCCACCUCAAAACGAGGUCUCAUAGAGCCGUGCAAGACCAGCACGUUAAUAGGCCGGGUGUAUACGUACAGUAAUGUACUCAGCUAACCGGUACUAAUCGCUCAUAUCUCUCACACA